AGGAGAGUUAGGUAAGUUAACAUAACAUUGGCUUCAGUUGCCAAAAAUGCUUUAUAGGCAC
rnacentral:tRNA from 1 species